UGAAUCAUUAGCAUCCAUAUUUCACUACUUUGAGAUUUUUAUCAAAUUGGCAUACACUCAUUAAUAUACAGAGAGAGAGAGAGAGAGAGAGAGAGAGAGAGAGAGAGAGAGAGAGAGAGAGAGAGAGAAUCAAAUUGGCAUACACAUUAAUAUACAGAGAGAGAAAAAGAGGAAGAGAGAGAGAGUACAAUGGAUGAUAUAUACGGUAUGUGGAAACUGGUACAUGUAAUUAUUUCGUAAAAUAGUUGAUAUGUGUUGGCCUGUACUACUUAUUUUAAAAGACCAUUGUUUUACUUUAUCAUAUACAUGUAUUUUUAAUAUCUUAUUUUCAUUCACUGAAAAUAGUUUAUAAAAGUUUUUACCAAAAACUGUGAAAACAUAUGGUUUCCACACUCGUAAAAAGCAAACAGGACAUGGUGUACAAUGACUCCACAAUGAUUUGUGAAUUAACAACUACACCCAAUUUUUUUUUCUGUUUCUUGAAAAAAACAACAACUAAUGUUUGAAUAGUAAUUAAAAAGUCAAAUCUAUUGUCUGUAUAUUUAACAUUGAUUAACACAUAUAUUAGUGACAUUGUUUUUCAGUGAAUAAAUUUGUACACUGUAAAAUG
rnacentral:misc_RNA from 1 species